rnacentral:lncRNA from 1 species
UGGUUUAGAAGCACCAUGAAGAUUCAGGCCCAAAUCUUUGCUUAGAAUGCCCGAAAUAAAUAUAUCACACACUUCUUUUUUUGUUUUUUGUUUUUCAUCUUUUCAUGUGUUUCUCACAAGAAGCAAACUUGAGGGAACAUAAAGUGUUGGGAAGUGAUUUUUGUUGGAAUUUCUUAUGUAAUCUCUUCUUUCGAUGAUGACCUCUUGGAUGGCUGCAUGAAGCUUAUUCCGCUUUGAAUUUCAAGGUUAAUCUAUUGUUGUGAGCAUACGUCGAGUUGCAACUGAACUUAAAUGAAUGGUGUUGGAUUUGGGCCUUCCAUUUGUUUUAACUUCUACAAGGUUGAAAUGAUAGUGAUCUUAAAGUAGAAAAGCAGCUGACAAAAAUCAAUUAGCCACAAUGACAGCUACUGCUGGCACUUGAAUGUUUUGUUGACCUCUCUACAUCCAAAAUCAUAUAGACAGCUACUACUGGCACUUGCAGUGGUCAUUGAAUACUGUAGAGUAUAUAUUGCAGUGUGAGAUAAGGUUAACUAGUUGCAUUUUCAUAUAUUGAAAGGAUUUCUCUUCUUUUCUUUGUCAAUUACAGCACAUGCAUAGAAGUGUUCUUACUCAGAGUAAAUGCUAUUGUAAUGUUUUCACGGACUCCCCUGCUUUGCAACUAAGUCACUAAUUAUCUUGGAACAUAGCCAUAAAUGAAAGGGUCUUCCAGUUCAAGAAAAUUAACCAUGAAGCUAGUAGCUAGAAGGGUGGCUAAGUAAACUUCUAUACUUUGUACCUCUAGAAUAAUGUAGGGAAAGGAUGUCUAUGUAUUUUGAUGUCUUAUAUUACUUGACCAACUCUUGCUUAUAUCAUUAUUUGUUUUUACUUUUUGCUAAUGAUUCCACACAUUUCUGAUAUUGGUGUGGUUUAUGAGUUCAGGGUUCUUGCUCGCUGCUGCUACUUCUCUAUAUUUGCCUGGUCAUUAAAAAUGAAACGUGAUGAUUUGCAUAUGCAGAAUGGAGACAUUAAAGAGGCAUUUUCUAUUUUCUGGUCAGGAGAGAUUACAAGAACUCAAGAAAUUUACCAUACAUUUUGAGAGGAAAAAAUUUAUACUACCGCUACCAAUAAGGUAUUUGCUUAAUGCGAGGUUCAAUAAUUAAGAUAUUAUCUAGACAUGAAUAUACACACACAUUUAUGCUUGUACAAAUGUGCGUGUAGAGUUCACAUCUUUUUGUUAAUUCUCUUGACAAGUGUUUUAUUUAGAGUGACCAAGUUCAAGUACAUGGGAAGUGUGCAAAAAGCAAAUAGCGAAUCAAUACAUAAAUAAGUAAAUAAAAAGAGAGGAAACAGAAGUAUAUCCUCACAGAAGAUGAAAUGAUAGAGCAUAUAUCCAUUUUCCUCCUCUUGUAAUGUUUUAUUAUUAAUAUCUGAUUUCAAUCUGAUUAUCUGCAUAAAAUAUCUCUGGAGAUGCUUUCGAUGGAGAUCAAGUUCAAAAUGCCAUGCCCACUGCCCCUAUAGAUCCAGCAGGUAAUAAUGCAUCCGAGUUGAAUUUCUAAACAUCUUACCUUUUGUUUUUCUUCUCACAUUGUUAUCAAACUCUUUUACAUUUUAUUGCUGCAUAUUGUAUGUGUGUCGCCUUGCUGGAAAAAUGGCAUGAUCACCUCCACGAUGCUAAUUCUGUAAUGCAUGUGAAGUGUUUCAUCCUUAACUUGUUAAGGAACAAGGACCGUGAUGCAUGACUAUUUUAUAUUUUAUGAUUGAGAUGGUAGAUUUUAAAGAUUUUCCUGUUUAGGAGAUAAGACGUCACUUUCUUGCUUUUCUUUCGAGAGAGUAUUUGAUCCUUUUUUUGUAUAAAAUAAUGCUGCCAUGCAUUGAAUUUCCAAACAUCUUACCUUUUGUUUUGUUUGUCGCAUUUCUAUCAAACUCUUUUCCAUUUUAUUGCGGCAUAUUGCUAUGUGUAUGGCAUGCUUUAAUCAAAAAGUUGAGUAAUUGAUGAAUGUUAGGCAAGAAAAUUACAGAUUAUUUUUGUUUUCUGCCUCCUCCUUCUCUUUCCCCCACCCCGAAAAUUGUCAUAUUUUUUUUUUCAGCCGCCUCUUCUUCCCCCAACCCUAAAAAUUGUUUAUAUUUGCUUUGGAAGCAUGGCAAACUUCACUGCCUCUCAGCUUAAGGAGAUUGCAGCAGGUCUCGAAGCUUCUGGGCAUCAAUUUAUCCGGGUAUUUAGAAGAAGAAAAAAAAGAGUCAAGAAGACAAGGAAGAUUGUUUACCUCAAGGAUUUGAGGAAAGAAUGGAAGGCAAAGGGCUAUUAUUAGAGGAUGGACACUCCAAGUUUUGAUUCUUGAUCAUGAAGCAAUAGGUGCAUUUGUGACUCAUUGAGGAUGGAACUCAACUCUUGAAGGCAUAAGGCCAAUAUGUGCUGAGCAAUUCUAUAAUGAAAAGUUGGUGACUGAUGUUUUAAAAAAUGGAGUUAAGGAAUGGCCUAGAGUGCAUGGAGAUCAUGUUAAAAGUGAAGCUGUAGAGAAGUCAAAUUAUGAUGGGUGAAGAAGCAGAGGAAAUGAGGAGUAGAGCAAAGAAGCUAGGAGAAACGGCCAGGAAGGCUGUUGAAGAAGGUGGAUCUUCUUGCUCUGAUUUCAAUGCUUUGAUCGAAUAACUGAGGUGGGGUCGCCAUUGAAACAAAGGCAGAAGUAAGUGUUGUCACUCGUGCAUAGAAUAUUUUGUUUCUACUUAGUAGUGGUUUUGGCAAUAUAGACAAGUCUUGAGAGUUGAAAGAGUAAUCACAGCCGAGUCAAUGACCAGUCCAAAUCAGUUCCCUUCCUACUAGUUCAGGAAUGACAAGUCCAGCUUAUAUAUUUAGCCCAAAUAACUAAUCAAAUAGAAAGGCUGAGCUUAGAGGCAGUACACUACAAAAUAAGUACCCAAUGUCUUAGAGACAAACAAUCAUCAUAAACUAGGAAAGACCGUCUCCCCAGUAACAAAUUCACCUUCUGAAGUUGGAGAACUUACGAAAACUAGCCACCACAAAAUAGUAGCAAGUAUCUAAAUUAUUUCCAGAGAGAUCUAACUGCUUCAAUUCACACCAACUUGUAUAAUUUAUCUCUAAACAGUCAAAAUAGUGUUAAAAGAAUCUUUUAUUGAUGAUGUGAUUAUAUUUGUUAAUUUACCUUGAGCGGGUAAAGUGACAUAGAGGUCACAUUCACCAAUAGACAAAACUUGAAGAGCAGGCAAUGCUCCAAUGUUAUGGAAAAAGUUUAUUAGGAGAGAAGUACGAUCUAGAUACAAUUCUUCAAGGGUGCUAGAAUUGAAGAAAGUCCCUGUAAAAAAGAAACAAAAAGAAAAAAGAUAUGAUGAAAAUGGUGGUGGUACAUAAUAGGCAUUCCAUUCAAUAUUAUUAAUUAAGAUUUUAAGAAACUAAACUAUGAUUAACCUUGAUUUAAAUUAGUAUCCUUAAGAGAAAGGAUCUUCAGGGAUGGCAAUGACUGCAGGAAGUCCGACUUCCUUAAACCUAUGAUGUGUAGAAUUGAAAACAGGCAAUCAAGAAAGUAGUGAAAUUAAGUGCUAUCUUGAUUGAGUUUUUAAGCCUAUGAUAAAGAACUAAUGUUGAAUAGUGAGAUGAUUUUUGGAUAGAAACAACAAAUUGCCUGAAAAAUCCAGAGAUUUCACAACUUUACCAUAGACAGUCGUCGAUCCUAGCAACAUAUCGCCUGAUAAAUUUAAAGACUUGAGAUAAGAAAAUCCACGCAGAUGUGAUAAAAUGUUGUCGUUGAAUAUAUUAUAGCUCAGGUCUAGAUUCUCGAGUUUCCUCAAAUGUGAUGAUAUGAUCUCAAAACCUGCCAGAGAAACUAAAGAUAAUUAGAAUUGAUGAGAUGCUGUUGUUCAAUUGAUAUAUGAUUCUCAAAUUAUACAUACAUAUAUAUAUACACACACACACACACACACACACACACAUAUAUAUAUAUAUAUAUAUAUAUAUAUAUAUAUAUAUAUAAUUGAUAUUUAUAAAAGCAUUAACUGUAGAGGAAUAUUUGGUACUUUGUUUCCCAAUAAAAAAUAGAUUUUUCUGCAAAGUAGCACCAAAAAAAAAACUGUUCAAAACUUAUAUAAGAAAUUAUACAGUUAGCGAGUCACAGAUGAUGAAUCUUAAAAAAAAUUGGCAAUAAUAACAGUACUCUAUUGCUAUUAAUUAACUUAAAUAUUCAAAACUUAAAAAUAGUUUUUAAAUUUAUCCAUGCCAAUUUAUCUUAAGAGAGUCGCAAUCUGUGACUAGUUAAAUUAUAUUGUUUCUGUAAAUAAAUUUUGAAUUGUGUUAUUUUUUGUUCUAGGUGCUAUUUUGCAAAAAAAAAAAAAAACCUCCAAAUAAAAUAAUAAGAUUAACGUUUAAGUUGUCUAUUGUUCUUGGAUUUGUAGGUAUAACAACAGAAGAUAGCAAUCAAAAGCGAUGGUGACAUGGUAGAGCUUUGAGUUAUUGCUGUGUUCUAAUGAUGAAGAUGUAGGAAAACGAUCUCCCUUCUGCUGUCUGGAGCUGGGCUUCCUCUCCCUGUAAGAACAAUCAACAUCUUAUCUGCGUUGUUGUUAGUGGCCACUUCAUCGACCCAUUAGUGGGUGGAUUUUAAGCUUAAAAAGGAUUUUUUUUAUAAAAAAAAAAAGGAAGAGAGAGGGGGGGCGCAUCAUCACGUGAAAGCAAGGAGCUUGCCACCCAUUAUAGAGUGUGGGGCACUCUUGCAUCUAAGAAUAAAUGAUCCUGAGGUUGUUCUGGUGAUGGGUAUUGGCCAUUACAUAAAGCUUCGACAAGCCCUUUUAGCUGCCUGUUAUUAGAAUUUGUAUAAUGAGCAUUCAAACUUAAACUUCUUUAAAUGGGAUGAAAACGAGUGAAAAUCAAGAAGUUGGAGGUGUUCAUCUCUAAUGCAUAGCUAAAGAUCCUUUGUAAGAAAAUACAGCUAAGGACAAAAGUGUGUGUGUGUACCAGAGAAAUUGUCGAUAAUAGCCAUCAUUUUCUUUGUCUCUUGUGUCAUAUCUUCCAAAAAUCUUAAAGUAAUUGAUGAAAAAGUGGAUAUAUCACUUUGUCUUCUUUAUAGCACUGCUGGCCACUGUGAGUUAAAGCAUUAAAAGGUCGUGAACGCGGAUGCUUGACGAGCGAGUGUUUACUUGUUAAUUUUUUUAGAAGGAAUCUGGAAAAGAAUAAAGUCAUCUAUUUCACUUUGGGACAACAUUCCUCACCUCUCCCCGCCCUCCCUCCCUCCCUCCCUCCCUCUUCCGCCUCUCGGAAACCGCCGCAUCCAAUAAGGCUUCAGAUUUCUGCCAGGUGCUUCCUUUUCUAUCAUGCUUUUGUUUUUAAAAUUUAUGGGUAUUUUCAUUUAUUUUAUUGUAAUUAUUAUUCAGAGACAGAAAUCCAUUUUAUUAAGUAAAUUAAAAAAAACAAGUAAUCGAUCCGAUGAAAUCUCUGCUAGUGAACGCAAUUCGAUUUUAAUAAGUAAAUUAAAAAAGUAUAUAAUUGGAUCCGAUGAAAUCGCUGCUCGUGAACGCAAUUCAAAGAAACGCACAAUCAGCCGAUUCUAAUAUUCUCUUUUUCAACCCCACCCUAAUUUACAUGAUAUUAUCCGAUUUUUCUCACAGUUAUUGUUGUAAUAAUCAAGCCCUGAAUUCUUGAACCCAAAUUUAUUUUAUUUUAUUUUUUUAGUUUUAUUUUUAAGUUGAGAAUAGAAAUCAAUUCAAAUCUUUUAGGCCCGAUCGAUAAUUUGUUAAUUAGUUUAUGCAGCAGCUGGAGUGGAAGAGAUAUUACUGCCGGAAUGGCCGAAAAAUGAGCUGUUUGGUUGAUUCUUCUUUUUUGGAAUUUACUGAAUUCUUCAAAAUUAUUGUGUUUUUAACAACAAUACGAUAUCCUUGGGUUUUAUGCUCGCUCACACAUGGAAAAAAGAAAGAAAGAAAAGAACUUUAAAUUUUAUAAUUUGGUCAUGUUAACGCGAAAAAAAUAAAAAUAAUAGGUCUGCCUUGAUAACCCUACAGGAUAUAUCUUUCUUUUUAGGACUGCUCAGCUGGUCUUGAGUAUGAGGUGAAAGCUUGAGAGCAUGUGGAAGUGUAAAACAAAUGACUUCGUUCACUUCACCCCAAAGGCGUACCUGUGCAUCUAGUUAGGAAGAACAUUUUAUAACUUACCUCAAGGUCGAACAUGGUCAGGGUUAUUGUGCUGUCUAUUCCGAGAAAGAUGUGCCUGUAAAUUUAAUCUUAUUUCAACAAGAGUUGUUAAGUUGAUUCUUCACAGUCUGCUCAUUAGAGUUGAUGAUAACAUGAAAUAUUCAUGGUUAAUGCUCGUCGUUUUCUUCUUCUUUUUCCUAGCUUAAAAACAUCCUAGACAAUCUCUUUGGGAUGCGUUAUUGUUUGUGGCCUCUUCAUGUUCUGUUUGCUGGGGUAUUUAGACUGCUGAUAUUCAUGUUUGAUGAUUUUGUUUUGUUUUCUUAUUCUUUCUUUAUUCUUUUGGGGAUGUGGUAUUCUCCUCGUUCUAUUUACACUAUUUGCUCCCUACCACAUUUAUUCUUUCAGAAAAGUUAAUACAUGCAUAGAUAACAAGAACAGGAGGGGAGGGGGAGGGGGUUUGACUGUAUGUAUUUACUUGCGAGUAAAAAUUGGUAAGCACCUGAAAAACGGUCCUGUGCUGAAUCUAAAUUGGUAAGAUGUGAUAUUCUGAUAUCUAGAAAGAUAACUUAAUCUAUCUAUUGAAGUAAAGCAUUUAAAUGCGUAUACAAUGCUUUUGGAUCAUUAAAUAUCUAUUUGAUCAGAAUCUGUGAACCUAAAGCCACAAUGAAUACAAAUGCAAGUUUGUCAUUGUAAACAUUGCAUCGAUGAUGCAUCACAGGUGUUGCUAGAAAACAUCAAGUUAAAAUUGAAGCACCAUGAGUUUCUCUAUGGCUUGGUUUACCAGCACUCACCAUCUGUUGGUGCGGCAAGUUAUGAACUAGCUGGCUAGUUUUUUGCUUCCUUGGUUAUUGUAGAAUUGUGAGUAUGAAAAUGAUAUUUCUCUUAUUCUUGAUGCAUGAGUACAGUAUGUAUAUAUACAGGUCUAGGAUUAAUCUAAAUCCCUAGAAUCAAGCUAUAAUUGAAUGCAUAUAAAUCAGCCCUGCAAUCAGCCCUAUAAUUGACAGCCCUAUAGUUGACUUACUCUAUUUAGAACAAUAAUCAAUCCUAUAAUUGAUUUACUAUAUUUACAACAGUUAUAGAAGCACCAUGAAGAUUCAGGCCCAAAUCUUGCUUAUAAUACCUGAAUACCCGAAUACCCAAGAUCCUAGCACCUUGCCCUGAAUGGUCGUGUAUAUUUGUUAUGGCUGUUCAGAUUUUAUGCAUCCAUAUUUGGUAGAAUUCUUUAAUAAAGUACAAGCUAUUAGAUGGAAGUUCUUUUUAAAUCUAUUCAAGUCUGAAUAAACUGAUAUUCCAAUUUUCAUGACUUUGAUGUGCUCUUACUCUUCUGCUGUUCCUGACUUUAUUUUUAGGGUCUAUUCUAACGUGCAAUAUAAUUAAUUUUUUUUGUGGUGAUAAAAGUGAUUUUUUUUGGUUGGCCAAAACCCCAUGGAUGCCAAUAAUUGGAGGCUCACUGCCCCAGGCGGAGAACCUGUGAUGGACACAGGUGAUUGGAGAACUCAAUUGCAGCCUGACUCACGGCAAAGAAUAGUCAAUAAAAUGUAAGUAUCUGUUUCCUAAUAUGUGCAAGUGCUGCAAAAUAGUAUAUCUUGUAUUUAAAUGAAAGAAAAAGAGAAGGGCAAAAGGUUAAUUAAAAUCAGCAGGACUGCCAUGAGGCAACCUCAAGUAUCAUACACCUCUGUUUUUGUCUUUUUCAUUUUUCGCUUGUUUCUCACAAGAAGUGAACUUGAGGGAAUAAAAAGUGCUGGGAAGUAAUUUUUGUUGGAACUUCUUGUGUAAAAUCUUCUUUUGACGAUGACCUCUUGGAUGGCUGCAUGAAGCUUGUUCCGCUUUAAAUUUCAAGGUUAAUCUAUUGCUAUGAGC